rnacentral:rRNA from 1 species
GUGUCAGCCGCCGCGGUAAUACGUAGGGUGCAAGCGUUAAUCGGAAUUACUGGGCGUAAAGCGAGCGCAGGCGGUUGUGUAAGACAGAUGUGAAAUCCCCGGGCUCAACCUGGGAACUGCGCUUGUGACUGCAAGGCUAGAGUACGGCAGAGGGGGGUGGAAUUCCACGUGUAGCAGUGAAAUGCGUAGAGAUGUGGAGGAACACCAAUGGCGAAGGCAGCCCCCUGGGUCGAUACUGACGCUCAUGCACGAAAGCGUGGGUAGCAAACAGGAUUAGAUACCCUGGUAGUCCACGCCCUAAACGAUGUCAACUGGUUGUUGGGAAUUAACUUUCUCAGUAACGAAGCUAACGCGUGAAGUUGACCGCCUGGGGAGUACGGCCGCAAGGUUAAAACUCAAAGAAAUUGACGG